rnacentral:rRNA from 1 species
GACGAACGCUGGCGGCGUGCCUAACACAUGCAAGUCGCACGAGUCCACUCCUUCGGGAGUGAGGCGAGUGGCGGACGGGUGAGUAACACGUGAGCAAUCUGUCCCGCUGCGGGGGAUAACCCGGGGAAACUCGGGCUAAUACCGCAUGGUCGGCUUCCAGGAUCUGGGAGCCGGGAAAGGUGGCCUCUUUACAAUGCUACCGUGACGGGAGGAGCUCGCGGGCUAUCAGCUAGUUGGUGCGGUCACGGCGCACCAAGGCAACGACGGCUACGGGGUCUGAGAGGACGACCCCGCACAUUGGAACUGAGACACGGUCCAGACUCCUACGGGAGGCAGCAGUGGGGAAUUUUGGGCAAUGGCCGAAAGGCUGACCCAGCGACGCCGCGUGCGGGAGGACGCCUCGGGUCGGUAA